AUUGAACGCUGGCGGCAGGCCUAACACAUGCAAGUCGAGCGAGCGGCGGACGGGUGAGUAAUGUAUGGGGACUGCCCGAUAGAGGGGGAUAACUACUGGAAACGGUAGCUAAUACCGCAUACUAUCGGAUAACCCAUAUGGGAUUAGCUAGUAGGUGAGGUAAUGGCUCACCUAGGCGACGAUACCUAGCUGGUCUGAGAGGAUGAUCAGGCACACUGUGACUAAGACCAGGCCCGGACUCCUGCGGAGGCAGCAGUGGGGAAUAUUGCACAAUGGGCGCAAGCCUGAUGCAGCCAUGCCGGGUGUAGGAAGAAGGCCCUAGGGUUGUAAAGUACUUUCAGUCGGGAGGCGUUACCGACAGAAGAAGCACCGGCUAACUCCGUGCCAGCAGCCGCGGUAAUAC
rnacentral:rRNA from 1 species